UCUUGUCAGCCCGACUGUUUGAAACAACUCUGCUCAUCAAAGUGUGUUAGCAUGUUGGCAAUUCUACUGCAUGGAAAGGCAGCUCUGAAUGAUUAUUCAGACUCUAAUCACAGGCUUUUAGGGAUAGUGUUUGAGAAUUGUGUUAUUGUUAUUGUAGCAUUAAACUAGUAUUACUUUAAUGUUUUUACUCUUAUCGUUUUUAUAGCACAUUAAAUUGAGCUGAGUGUGAUAAUGUAAACAGUAAAAUGUAAUUGGACUUUGGCAGAGACGCUCUUUAUUUCAGGUGACGUUCAGGAUAAAAAUGUUGAAGGACUGACUUACACUGUCUUUGUGUUUUUGUUUAGAAGCAGAGCGACACAGAUGGAUCAAGUUCUCAACCCUGUCAUCGCUGUGGGAAAGACUUUUGUUGUGACCUUUGUGGAAAAACUUUAAGUCAUUGAAGGACUCUGAAAAUACAUCAACGUAGACACACUGGAGACAAAAUGAACUACUGUAAAGAAUGCGGGAGAGGCUUCACCACUUCAAAGGACUUCAAACAAUAUGAACUCCUUCACAGUGGCGUUAAAAAGCAUGUCUGCGAUCAGUGUGGGUCAUCCUUCAUCAGUGCACGUCAGCUUGAAAAGCAUAAACGAGUCCACACAUGAGAGAAACCAUACAAGUGCAGACACUGUGACAAAACCUUUUCACAGUCAUGUGAUCAUACUAAGCAUGAACGCAGACACAUGAAAGAGAACUUCAUCUGUGAAAGAGUUUGAGUAAUCUCAGUUCAUACUCCACUCAGAAACGAUUCCAUGUUACAAAUAAACUGUUACGUCUUGAUUCCUGCUUUUACGUUAAUCUUGUAAACGGUACAUUUGCAUAACGACUGAAACCGGCCAAUGAAUGAACAAUGGGCUGUGAGGUCAAUUUCUUCAUCAUUAAUAUGCAAAUUCUUAUGAGCAUUGAUCAACAACCACUGGUCAAUGGCCAUGAGUACCAUUCACAGAGUAAAAAUUUGCAUUAUGACGUUUACUGUUACCAAUGUUCAAAAACAUUUACUAAAUUAUCUUCUCUGUGCAAACAUCAGCGUGAUGCAGGACUGAAAUCAUUGCCAUCUCUGGAUCACAGUGAAUCUGCAGAGACAGAAAGAUCCUCUUCUGGUUUCAGGGUCAGACUUAAACCCUUGAGAUCCGGCUCCACAGAGUUCAGGUGGAGUCUUCUGUAAAGAUCUGAUGAGGCAGCUAUGAAUGAAAAUGUGCCUCUUGUUACAUUUUAAGCUUUCUAAACUGUUCUACUGUAGUGUUUGUGUUGAGUGGUUCGCUUUGUUCCAGCAGUUUGAUUAAGAAAUCUGUUUCCUGUUAUAUUUUUAUUGAAUGCAUUGAUCCAUGUGUUCUGCAGUUUUUUUUCAGCUUGUUUGUGUAAUGAAAUCCUGCAACAAUUAAACCAAAAUUUUAUAUGUUAAAUAAAGAAAUGGUUUACUGACAAACAGUUUGAGCCGUGUUGUCAUUUCCUGUAUAUCAGAGCAACACCUGAAGUGACCAGUGUUUAAAGUCAGAGUCAAAUUUUGUGUCAGCAUGACCUUGUGAAAACUGCUUGGCGAUGCUUCACUACGUUAUCUGCUAACUUUUAGGGUGUAGAAGGACGAAACUCCCAGGGUGACCAGUGGCAGGAGCUUCCUGAUGCAGAGAGUUGAGUGUGGGGGAUAUAAAAGAGAAGCUGAGGCAUCCCAAGGUUAAAGCUGGCAUAACUGAACUUUAAUGUUUGAUGUGUGUUUUGGCUCUCCUGCGCGCAGUAAUUAAUAGCUUAAACACAGCAGAGCUUGAUAUAAAGACCUGGGUGACAACUAACUUUAUGCUGCUGAUUAUACUUGGCCCUAAAAUACCUAGAAAUAUGGUAUCUAACCAGAUACUUGCUCUGGAUGGCAUUACCUUGGCCUCCAGUAACACCUUGGAGUAAUAUUUGACCAGGACAUUAAACAAAUAUUUAGGGCUGUGUGAUGAACCAAGUUGAAAAAGCAGAAGGAGUCACAAGAAUUAUUAGAAAAACAAAGUUUUCAUUCAUUUAACCCAAAUAUUAUAUUUACAAAAGUAAUUAAUGUUAAGCUCAUAAAAAAUGUCAAAGAAACAAAACUGAACUCAGGCAAAGAACUGCAAACUUAACAAACCAAAUGAGUGCACAAAGAAAUAUAACUGACCUAAACAAACAUAACUGACCUAAACAUGAAAUGGCACAGAAGGGUAAAUAUAUUGUCUGAUCAGACCACUACGACACACGAGGAGUUUUUCCUUUCCAGUCACCUUUCUCACUCACUAUGUGUUAAUAGACCUCUCUGCAUUGAAUCAUAUCUGUUAUUAAUCUCUGUCUCUCUUCCACUGCAUGUCUUUAUUCUGUUUUCCUUCUCUCACCCCAACCGGUCACAGUAGAUGGCCCCGCCCCUCCCUGAGCCUGGCUCUGCCGGAGGUUUCUUCCUGUUAAAAGGGAGUUUUUCCUUCCCACUGUCGCCAAAGUGCUUGCUCAUAGGGGCUCAUAUGAUUGUUGGGCUUUUCUCUGUAUCUACUGUACAAUAUAAAGUGCCUUGAGGCUACUUUUCUUGUGAUUUGUCUCUAUAUAGAUGCAAUUGAAUUGAAUUGAAUUGGUUCUUUAGUAUUUCUAAAGGGUUAAACUGCUCCCUCACAUCUGCUUCAUGAAUAUGAAGGGUUGUGGUGGGAGAAGGCGGUGUGAAAUCCUCAUAGGUGUGAAGUAAGGAGGUUGCUCCUGUGGGU
rnacentral:lncRNA from 1 species